rnacentral:misc_RNA from 1 species
UGAGUAUUGAUUUGGGUGGUGAUAGGAAGGAUAUGGAGAGCUCUGUAUGCACACCAUCUUCUGCCUCGGAUGUACGUGGUGAAAGCAGAUUGGAUGACCAUACUAGGAAUGUCCAAGAUUCUCCCAGGACCCGGCCAAAUUCAAAUUCGGGCAUCACUGAUGUUGAUCAGGGCCGUGGGAAGACCAGGUCAAGCUCACAUAUAAGUGGGGGUGAGGAUAAGAAUGUGAAAAAUCAACCAGAUAUUGGAGGGCCAUUCUCCUCUUUCAAUAUGGGUAAAAGUGCUGAUUUUGGUUUGACUACUAACACAGACUUCAAGGGUUCUCAAGGUGUUAAGGAGCUUGAGAAGAGCAAAGGAAAAGUUAG